rnacentral:rRNA from 1 species
CCCUCUGGGGGCCCGAGUUGUAAUUUGAAGAGGAUGCUUUUGGCGAGGCGCCUUCCGAGUGCCCUGGAACGGGACGCCACAGAGGGUGAGAGCCCCGUAUGGUAGGACGCCGAGCCUCUGUAAAGCUCCUUCGACGAGUCGAGUAGUUUGGGAAUGCUGCUCAAAAUGGGAGGUAAACCCCUUCUAAAGCUAAAUAUUGGCCAGAGACCGAUAGCGCACAAGUAGAGUGAUCGAAAGAUGAAAAGCACUUUGAAAAGAGAGUUAAACAGCACGUGAAAUUGUUGAAAGGGAAGCGCUUGCGACCAGACUUGCGCCCGUCGGAUCAACCGUCCCUCGUGGGCGGCGCACUCCGGCGGGCUCAGGCCAGCAUCAGUUUUCCUGGGGGUAGAAAGGCGGUGGGAAUGUAGCUCUUCGGAGUGUUAUAGCCCGCCGCGUAAUGCCCUCGGGGGGACUGAGGACCGCGCGUAUGCAAGGAUGCUGGCGUAAUGGUCGUCAGCGACCCGUCUUGAAACACGGACCAAGGAGUCGUCCUAUUAUGCGAGUGUACGGGUGUAAAACCCCUGCGCGUAAUGAAAGUGAACGGAGGUGAGAGCUUCGGCGCAUCAUCGACCGAUCCUGAUGUUCUCGGAUGGAUUUGAGUAAGAGCAUAUUGGGCCGGACCCGAAAGAAGG